GACGAACGCUGGCGGCGUGCUUAACACAUGCAAGUCGAGCGGAGCGGCGAACGGGUGAGUAACGCGUGAGUAACUGCCCCCCUCUCUGGGAUAACAGUUGGAAACGGCUGCUAAUACCGGAUAGUGGGGGAUGACUCGCGUCCUAUCAGCGUGGUGGUGGGGGAGUGGCCUACGAAGGCGACGACGGGUAGCCGGCCUGAUAGGGAGACCGGCCACAGUGGGCUGAGAGACGGCCCAAACUCCUACGGGAGGCAGCAGUGGGGAAUAUUGCGCAAUGGGGGAAACCCUGAUGCAGCAACGCCGGGUGCGGGAUGACGGCCUUCGGGUUGGAAACCGCUUUCAGCCAUGACGCGGUAGUGGCAGAAGAAGCACCGGCUAACUACGUGCCAGCCGCCGCGGUAAUUC
rnacentral:rRNA from 1 species